AGCAAAUGCUGGGGAGAACUUUGAUUUAGAUUCUACAGAGUGAUUUAAACUAACAAGAGAGUUGUUGAUGUGGGCAGUGAGACAACUGUGAUCUCUGCAUUUUGUCAGCAUCAUCUGUACUUUUUUGUACUUGGUAAAAAACAUUGUGGACAAUAACCAGCAUCAGUCAAAUUAUGUAAUUUUCCUUCUCUUUGGGAAUUUUAAAUUACAAAUUUAUGGACAACUUAUUAAUUUAUUUCUUUAUCUUGGUAUUUACUUCUCAAACUUCACUUUUCAUAGCUGUAAAAGCUCAUGAGUGAUUGUGAUUGGGAACAGUUCUUAUUAAGGAAAAGUGAAAAUUAACUUGUGGGUUAACACAGCAAUAAGAAGAAGAGAAGAUGUUAAGAAUAAUACACUUGUUAUGGUGGAGAGUGAAGAGGAAACACUGAUCUUUGGCUUUAGGGACUGAUCGAGUGAGGUUUUCUGCCCUAGGAUACACCCAGUCAGGAAGCAGUGACUGUGGUCUGUUCCAAUCACGCCUGCAGAUCUGGCCGGGCUAGAAUCCGUUAGUUGAACGACUUAGCCAUUUAGCAGAGACCAGCUGGUUUCUCACAAAAUCCAUUUCCUGUUCUUGAGCAGUCCCAUAAGCUACAUUUUUCUGCCUCCCUUGCAGUAAUGUAUCACCAUAUAGCUGAGUUCUUUUCUCCCACAUGCUGCUGUUCAUCCCCUUUCCCCAUCUGCAAGCUGGAUGUGGAGGACUCUGAGGUCUUAGAAAAUGAUGAAGAAAUAUAUGAAAGGACCGUGGACCCCAGAAUGACCACGUGGAAUGUUUACUGGUGACCAGGAAUACACAUUUUGAACAUAGAUCUAGGUUGGAACUCUUUAACAUCUUGACCCUGCUAGAGUUUUC
rnacentral:lncRNA from 1 species